AUUGAACGCUGGCGGCAGGCCUAACACAUGCAAGUCGAGCGAGCGGCGGGCGGGCGAGCAAUGUGUGGGGAUCGGCCCGAGAGAGGGGGAUAACUACUGGAAACGGGGGCUAAUACCGCAUACUAUCGGAUGAACCUAUAUGGGAUGAGCUAGGAGGUGGGGUAAAGGCUCACCUAGGCGACGAGCUCUAGCUGGUCUGAGAGGAUGAUCAGCCACACUGGGAAUGAGACACGGCCCAGACUCCGACGGGAGGCUGCAGUGGGGAAUAUUGCACAAGGGGCGCAAGCCUGAUGCAGCCAUGCCGCGUGUAUGAAGAAGGCCUUAGGGUUGUAAAGUACUUUCAGCGGGGAGGCGUUACCCGCAGAAGAAGCACCGGCUAACUCCGUGCCAGCAGCCGCGGUAAUUC
rnacentral:rRNA from 1 species